rnacentral:rRNA from 1 species
GACAGAGGCCCCGAGCGUUAAUCGGAAUCACUGGGCUUAAAGGGUGCGUAGGCCGGCCCGCAAGUGCUUUGUGAAAUCCCCCGGCUCAACCGGGGAACAGCGGGGCAUACUGCGGGUCUUGAGGAAGGUAGGGGUUGCCGGAACUGUAGGUGGAGCGGUGAAAUGCGUAGAUAUCUGGAGGAACACCGGUGGCGAAGGCGACAUCCUGGACCGGUAUUGACGCUGAGGCGCGAAAGCCAGGGGAGCAAACGGG